GAAUGCGAAGCCAGUAGUGUCCUUCAUAGCUGGGCUGACCGCUCCUCCGGGCAGGCGCAUGGGUCAUGCUGGAGCAAUCAUUGCUGGGGGCAAAGGUGGAGCCAAAGAGAAGAUAGCUGCUCUUCAGAGCGCUGGCGUUGUGGUCAGCAUGUCUCCUGCUCAGCUGGGAAGCACCAUAUACAAGGAGUUCGAGAAGAGGAAAUUGCUGUAAGAGAAGACACUGUGGGAGACUGUUUCCAAAAUACCAGUGAAGCACCUGGCCUCCGCUUAUCUUCUGUCUGCUAGUCUUCAGUUGCCCAAAUGACUGACACUGGUCUUUGAAUUUGACUUUGAAGCCAUAAACCUUUUGGCUAAACCUGUCUGGAUGUCUCCUUGGUUCAGACAUGAUCAUCCGAUUGUAAAUUGCAGCAAACUAGUAAAUCCACUACUAAACCUGAUUCAUCUUCUGAAUUCCUGAAGCAGAGCCAUUUCUUCAGUCAUCAUAAAGAAAAUCAGUUGACCUUGAAGGUUUGAAUCUUUUGUAACUUAAGCACUGCCCAUUUGUAAAGUCACUUCCAGAGAUGCUUGUAAGGGUCGAGGCACUGACUUUAUGCACGUAUCACACUUUGUUUUACUUUAAAAAAUAAAGUCUUACUUGUUCAUUGUUGGCAAGUACAUUUGUUUAAACGACAGGCCAAAGUUUCCGUCCACUAAACCAAAGCUGCUGAA